rfam:Lupinus angustifolius cultivar Tanjil contig_23417, whole genome shotgun sequence.
AGGUGCGAUCAUACCAGCACUAAUGCACCGGAUCCCAUCAGAACUCCGCAGUUAAGCGUAUUGUCCGUCAGCGCGUAUACUUGGGCGAGAGUAGUACUAGGAUGGGUGACCUCCUGGGAAGUCCUCGUGUUGCACCUC